AUUGAACGCUAGCGGGAUGCCUUACACAUGCAAGUCGAACGGAGUGGCGAACGGGUGAGUAAUGUAUCGGAACGUGCCCAGUAGCGGGGGAUAACUACGCGAAAGCGUAGCUAAUCCCGCAUACUAUUUGAUCGGCCGAUAUCGGAUUAGCUGGUUGGUGGGGUAACGGCUCACCAAGGCGACGAUCCAUAGCGGGUUUGAGAGGACGACCAGCCACACUGGGACUGAGACAAGGCCAAGACUCCUACGGGAGGCAGAAGUGGGAAAUUUUGGACAAUGGGGGAAACCCUGAUCAAUACAUCCCGCGUGUGCGAUGAAGGCCUUCGGGUUGUAAAGCACGUUUGGCAGGAAAGCGGUACCUGCAGAAUAAGCACCGGCUAACUACGUGCCAGCAGCCGCGGUAAGAC
rnacentral:rRNA from 1 species